rnacentral:rRNA from 1 species
UACAGAGGGUGCAAGCGUUAAUCGGAAUUACUGGGCGUAAAGCGCGCGUAGGUGGUUCGUUAAGUUGGAUGUGAAAUCCCCGGGCUCAACCUGGGAACUGCAUUCAAAACUGUCGAGCUAUAGUAUGGUAGAGGGUGGUGGAAUUUCCUGUGUAGCGGUGAAAUGCGUAGAUAUAGGAAGGAACACCAGUGGCGAAGGCGACCACCUGGACUGAUACUGACACUGAGGUGCGAAAGCGUGGGGAGCAAACAGG